GAUGAACGCUGGCGGCGUGCCUAAUACAUGCAAGUCGAGCGAACAGACGAGGAGCUCGCUCCUCUGACGUUAGCGGCGGACGGGUGAGUAACACGUGGAUAACCUACCUAUAAGACUGGGAUAACUUCGGGAAACCGGAGCUAAUACCGGAUAACAUGUUGAACCGCAUGGUUCAACAGUGAAAGACGGUUUUGCUGUCACUUAUAGAUGGAUCCGCGUCGCAUUAGCUAGUUGGUAAGGUAACGGCUUACCAAGGCAACGAUGCGUAGCCGACCUGAGAGGGUGAUCGGCCACACUGGAACUGAGACACGGUCCAGACUCCUACGGGAGGCAGCAGUAGGGAAUCUUCCGCAAUGGGCGAAAGCCUGACGGAGCAACGCCGCGUGAGUGAAGAAGGUCUUCGGAUCGUAAAACUCUGUUAUUAGGGAAGAACAAAUGGGUAAGUAACUAUGCACGUCUUGACGGUACCUGAUCAGAAAGCCACGGCUAACUACGUG
rnacentral:rRNA from 1 species